UGAGGUAGUGGACUGUUUAGGA
rnacentral:miRNA from 1 species